rnacentral:lncRNA from 1 species
GUGAAAUACGUCUUCUGCUGUUGUUUCAGCCUUUAGAAAAAGGACUGCUUCUAUGGAGACACUAAUAUGUAAUGUGAACAUAACAAAACUGUUUUCUGCUUUGUUUUGGUCAUAGAAUGAACCUGUUAUAUCUGCCAAGACUCUAGGAAGCAGCUUCUAAGAAAGAAUGAAUGCAGCUUCAAGAAAAUGGAAUAUCAGAAUUAAUCAAGACUAGAACAAGAAGAUUUGGAUUUGAUGAAGAAAAAUGCAUAUUUGAAACACCUGAAGCUGUGGUUCCAAGUACACUUUCAGCUAGUACUGCUGCCAUAAGCAGCAGUCCUGACCUCCUUCUUUACCUGACAGCUUAUUCUUACUCUGCUUUGUUUCCUCCCUUGGGCUAGCAGAUAUGUUUGAGCUGGUGCUUACUGAACUACAUCAGGGAACCUAUCAGAGGUAGAACUGCCUACUUUAGAAUUUUUUUCCCUGUUGCCUACUGUGGUUUCUUAAUUUCAGAGACAUUUACUUUUUUUUCUGUUUUUCUGCAAAACUUAGCAUAAUUUAUUCCUGGUCCAUGCUUUGUACCAGAAAGUGCCAAACUGAUAUGCAUUACAGCUCUUUCUAAAAUAAUACUAUUUUGCUUUGAUCUUCCCAUAUGUUCCCACCUCUCUUAACUGUAGAACUGCAGGCUUUACUGUUUUUUGUUUUUGUUUUUAAAUUACUUUUUUCUUCAAAAUACUGUUCCUCAGCUUCUCUACUACAGCACUGCAAUCCUUUGUAGGGCUUCAGUGGUCAUCAGCCAUGGAAAUGAUGGUGUUUGUAAACAUUUGUAUGAAAUUGGAGUGAAUCUGCCCUGGGAUUUUGUCAACAGUCCCUUAACUUUUCAUCUCCAUAAGCAGCUUUGUAUUCCCACAAUCAUUCAGAGUUUUUUUUUUCCUUAUGUGUAUCCCUGUUUGUAUACGUGUGGUUAAAAUAUGACUAAGAGUGGGAUUAUUAUUUGUCCAAGUUCAAUAAACAGUUAUGUACAUUAUGUCCA